AGUGAGGAAUAUUGGUCAAUGGACGCAAGUCUGAACCAGCCACGUCGCGUGAAGGAAGACGGCCCUACGGGUUGUAAACUUCUUUUGUAAGGGAAUAAAGUGUAGUACGUGUACUAUUUUGCAUGUACCUUACGAAUAAGGAUCGGCUAACUCCGUGCCAGCAGCCGCGGUAAUACGGAGGAUCCGAGCGUUAUCCGGAUUUAUUGGGUUUAAAGGGUGCGCAGGCGGGAGAUUAAGUCGGCGGUGAAAUUUUGCAGCUCAACUGUAAAAGUGCCUUCGAAACUGGUUUCCUUGAGUGUGGAUGAAGUAGGCGGAAUUUGUGGUGUAGCGGUGAAAUGCAUAGAUAUCACGAGGAACUCCGAUUGCGCAGGCAGCUUACUAAACCAUAACUGACGCUCAGGCACGAAGGCGUGGGGAUCAAACAGGAUUAGAUACCCUGGUAGUCCACGCAGUAAACGAUGAUUACUAGCUGUUUGCGAUACAAUGUAAGCGGCUGAGCGAAAGCGUUAAGUAAUCCACCUGGGGAGUACGUUCGCAAGAAUG
rnacentral:rRNA from 1 species